rnacentral:lncRNA from 1 species
ACUUGGUAAAAGAAGAUCCUAAGAAGCCAAGAGGCAAAAGGUCAUCAUAUGCAUUCUUUGUGCAAACUUCCAGGAGGAGAACAAGAAGCAGCACUCAUGCUUCAGUUAACUUCUCGGAAUUUUCUAAAAAAUGCUCAGAGAGGUGGAAAGCCGUAUCUGCUAAAGAGAAAGGAAAAUCUGAAGACAUGGCAAAGGGGGACAAGGAUGGCUAUUAAAGAGAAACUUACAUCCCUCCUAAAGAAGAAACAAAAAAGUUUAGGGAUCCCAAUGUACCCAAGAGGGCUCCUUCAGUCUUUUCAUUUUGCCCUGAGUACUGCCCAAAAAUCUAAGGAGAAUAUCCAAACCUAUCCAUUCGUGAUGUUUCAAAGAAACUGGGAAAGAUGUGGAUAUGGUGCAUAUGACAAGCAGCCUUAUGAAAAGGCUGUGAAGCUGAAGAAAAACUAAGAAAUGGAUAUUGCUGCAUACUGAGCUAAAGGAAGGCCUCAUGCAGCAAAAAAAAAAAAAAAAAAAAAAAAGGGAGAUGUCAAUGCUGAAAAAAAAAGAAGAGGAAGGUGAGGAAGUUGAAAAUAAGAAGGAAAAGGAGGAAGAUGAAGAGGAUGAGGAAGAGAAGAAAGAUGAAGAUGAUCAUAAUGAAUAAG